rnacentral:rRNA from 1 species
GGCUGAAAUUCGCCUUCAUGAAGCCGGAAUUGCUAGUAAUGGCAGGUCAGAAUGCUGCGGUGAAUACGUUCCCGGGCCUUGUACACACCGCCCGUCACACCAUGGGAGCCGGUAAUACCCGAAGUCAGUAGUCUAACCGCAAGGGGACGCUGCCGAAGGUAGGAUUGGCGACUGGGGUGAAGUCGUAACAAGGUAUC